rnacentral:rRNA from 1 species
CGGGACAGGUGAGUAAUGUCUGGGAAACUGCCCGAUGGAGGGGGAUAACUACUGGAAACGGUAGCUAAUACCGCAUAACGUCGCAAGACCAAAGAGGGGACCUUCGGGCCUCUUGCCAUCGGAUGUGCCCAGAUGGGAUUAGCUAGUAGGUGGGGUAACGGCUCACCUAGGCGACGAUCCCUAGCUGGUCUGAGAGGAUGACCAGCCACACUGGAACUGAGACACGGUCCAG